rnacentral:rRNA from 1 species
UACAGAGGGUGCGAGCGUUGUCCGGAAUCACUGGGCGUAAAGGGCGCGUAGGUGGUGGCUUAAGCGUGCGGUGAAAGCUCGGAGCUCAACUCCGAGUCGGCCGUGCGAACUGGGCUCACUGGAGCAUAGUAGAGGCAGGUGGAAUUCCGGGUGUAGCGGUGGAAUGCGUAGAGAUCCGGAAGAACACCCAUGGCGAAGGCAGCUCUCUGGGCCUGUACUGACGCUGAGACGCGAAAGCGUGGGGAGCGAACAGG